rnacentral:rRNA from 1 species
UACGAAGGGGGCUAGCGUUGUUCGGAAUUACUGGGCGUAAAGCGCACGUAGGCGGAUACUUAAGUCAGGGGUGAAAUCCCGGGGCUCAACCCCGGAACUGCCUUUGAUACUGGGUAUCUCGAGUCCGGAAGAGGUGAGUGGAAUUCCGAGUGUAGAGGUGAAAUUCGUAGAUAUUCGGAGGAACACCAGUGGCGAAGGCGGCUCACUGGUCCGGUACUGACGCUGAGGCCACGAAGGCAUGGGUAUCGAAUGGG